UACGUAGGGUGCGAGCGUUAAUCGGAAUUACUGGGCGUAAAGCGUGCGCAGGCGGUGAUGUAAGACCGAUGUGAAAUCUCUGGGCUUAACCCAGAAAGGUCAACUGAUACUGCGGGGCUAGAGUGCAGAAGGGGCAACUGGAAUUCUCGGUGUAGCGGUGAAAUGCGCAGAUAUCGGGAGGAACACCGGUGGCGAAGGCGGUUCUCUGGGCCUGUACUGACGCUGAGGAGCGAAAGCGUGGGGAGCGAACAGG
rnacentral:rRNA from 1 species